rnacentral:rRNA from 2 species
GUUUCGGCGGCCAUAGCGUGAGGGAAACGCCCGGUCACAUUCCGAACCCGGAAGCUAAGCCUCACAGCGCCGAUGGUACUGCAGGGGGGACCCUGUGGGAGAGUAGGACACCGCCGAACU